AGCCGGGGAAGUAGCGGUUCCUUGUACCUGAAAUCCGCUGUAGCAGGGGUGAUAUCCGGCAGAGGGUGAUUUUGUGCGGCAGCCGCCCGGCAGGAUGUGUGUUGAUAUUUGGGUCUUGCGCAACAAAGCGCCGUAAACCGUGUCAGGUCAGGAAUGAAGCAGCACUAAGCGGAUGUCUUUGUGUGCCGCAAGGGUGCCUGGAUUGAGCAUAUUUUGUCGGUA
rnacentral:SRP_RNA from 1 species